GAUGAACGCUGACAGAAUGCUUAACACAUGCAAGUCUAUUGGAAGCUUGCUUCCGAUGGCGGACGGGUGAGUAACACGUAAAGAAUCUGCCCUUUAGUCUGGGAUAACAAUUGGAAACAGUUGCUAAUACCAGAUAUUAUAAUCUGAUGGCAUCAUCUUUUUAUGAAAACUAUAUGUGCUAAAGGUGGACUUUGCGGCCCAUUAGCUAGUUGGUGAGGUAACGGCUCACCAAGGCUUCGAUGGGUAGCCGGCCUGAGAGGGUGUACGGCCACAAGGGGACUGAGACACGGCCCUUACUCCUACGGGAGGCAGCAGUGGGGAAUAUUGGACAAUGGGCGAAAGCCUGAUGCAGCAACGCCGCGUGAGCGAAGAAGGCCUUUGGGUCGUAAAGCUCUGUCCUUGGGGAAGAACAAAUGACGGUACCCUUGGAGGAAGCCCCGGCUAACUACGUG
rnacentral:rRNA from 1 species